rnacentral:lncRNA from 1 species
UUGCUAAUUAUUACUGUAGAAGAACUGACACGAUUGAUGAUGAGAAGGCUAAUUGAAGCUAUCGAUCGAACGGCGACGGGCGGGCGGGACGGGGCAGGGCAUCGCCCUCUCCCUAGGACUUGUUCUUGCCGGAGGAGGAGGCGCCGGCGGCCUUGGUGGCGACGAGGUCGAGGUCCUCGUCGGUGUAUCCGUCGGCGCCCUCCCAGGUGAACUUGCCGCCGCGGCCGCCCUUCUUGGCAUCGCCGCUCAUCCCGGAGCCCGACUUGCGGUCGCUGCGGACCUGCGACGACGCCUUGCGGUCGUCUCGGCCCUGCUUCUUCCCGCCGUCCAUCGCCGGACCUUCCCCUCCUCCUCC